rfam:Felis catus isolate Cinnamon breed Abyssinian chromosome B2, whole genome shotgun sequence.
GCCUGGGUGACUCAGUCGGUUGAGCGUCCGACUUCGGCUCAGAUCACUAUCUCGCGGUCUGUGGGUUCGAGCCCUGCUUCGGGCU